rnacentral:SRP_RNA from 1 species
GCCAGGCAUGGUGGCGCAUGCCUGUAAUCCCAGCUACUCAGGAGGCUGAGGUAGGAGAAUCGCUUGAACCUGGGAGGUGGAGGUUGCAGUGAGCCAAGAUGGCGCCACUGCACUCUAGUCUGGGUGACAGAGUGAGACUCUGUCUCAA